rnacentral:rRNA from 1 species
GACGAACGCUGGCGGCGUGCUUAACACAUGCAAGUCGAACGGAAAGGCCCUGCUUUUGUGGGGUGCUCGGGUGGCGAACGGGUGAGUAACACGUGAGUAACCUGCCCUUGACUUUGGGAUAACUUCAGGAAACUGGGGCUAAUACCGGAUAGGAGCUCCUGCUGCAUGGUGGGGGUUGGAAAGUUUCGGCGGUUGGGGAUGGACUCGCGGCUUAUCAGCUUGUUGGUGGGGUAGUGGCUUACCAAGGCUUUGACGGGUAGCCGGCCUGAGAGGGUGACCGGCAACGUUGGGAAUGGGAUCCGCCCCAGCCUCCUACGGGGGGCAGCAGGGGGGAAUUUUGCAAAGGGGGGGGAAGCCUAAUGCAGCACCGCCGGGUGGGGGAUGACGGCUUUCGGGUUGUAACCCGCUUUCGCCUGGGACGAAGCGGGAGGGACGGUAAUGGGAAAAGAAGCACCGGCUAACUACGUG